ensembl:lncRNA
ACAUGCUGCACUAGAGAGUAAACUCACUGAGAGCAGAGACUGAGUUUCAUUCCCAGCGCAGUCCCUAAACACGCGUGCAUGCGAGCCCUCACUUCAGUCAUGUCCAAUUCUGUGCAACCCCGUGGUCUGCAGCCCGUCAGGCUCCUCUGUCCAUGGGAUUCUCCAGGCAGGUUCUUUACCACAAGGGCCACGUGGGAAGCCCACCUAAGCAUGCUGCUGCUGCUGCUAAGUCACGUGUCCGACUCUGUGCGACCCCAUAGACACCAGCCCACCACGCUCCCCCGUCCCUGGGAUUCUCCAGGCGAGAACACUGGAGUGGGUUGCCAUUUCCUUCAAUGCAUGAAAGUGAAAAGUGAAAGUGAAGCCGCUCAGUCGUGUCCAGCUCUUAGCGACCGCAUGGACUGCAGCCCACCAGGCUCCUCCAUCCAUGGGAUUUUCCAGGGCUCUAGCCAGAGAACUUGGAGGGCAGUUCAGUUCAGUUCAGUCGCUCAGUCACGUGCAACUCUUUGAGACCCCAUGAACCGCAGCACACCAGGCCUCCCUGUCCAUCAC